UACUGCAGUCGAGCGGACAGAUGGGAGCUUGCUCCCUGAUGUUAGCGGCGGACGGGUGAGUAACACGUGGGUAACCUGCCUGUAAGACUGGGAUAACUCCGGGAAACCGGGGCUAAUACCGGAUGGUUGUUUGAACCGCAUGGUUCAAACAUAAAAGGUGGCUUCGGCUACCACUUACAGAUGGACCCGCGGCGCAUUAGCUAGUUGGUGAGGUAACGGCUCACCAAGGCAACGAUGCGUAGCCGACCUGAGAGGGUGAUCGGCCACACUGGGACUGAGACACGGCCCAGACUCCUACGGGAGGCAGCAGUAGGGAAUCUUCCGCAAUGGACGAAAGUCUGACGGAGCAACGCCGCGUGAGUGAUGAAGGUUUUCGGAUCGUAAAGCUCUGUUGUUAGGGAAGAACAAGUACCGUUCGAAUAGGGCGGUACCUUGACGGUACCUAACCAGAAAGCCACGGCUAACUACGUGCCAGCAGCCGCGGUAAUACGUAGGUGGCAAGCGUUGUCCGGAAUUAUUGGGCGUAAAGGGCUCGCAGGCGGUUUCUUAAGUCUGAUGUGAAAGCCCCCGGCUCAACCGGGGAGGGUCAUUGGAAACUGGGGAACUUGAGUGCAGAAGAGGAGAGUGGAAUUCCACGUGUAGCGGUGAAAUGCGUAGAGAUGUGGAGGAACACCAGUGGCGAAGGCGACUCUCUGGUCUGUAACUGACGCUGAGGAGCGAAAGCGUGGGGAGCGAACAGGAUUAGAUACCCUG
rnacentral:rRNA from 1 species